rnacentral:misc_RNA from 1 species
GUUUAAUUAAAUAUAAUUGCUUCAGCUUUCUUAAAUUAAGUUGUUUUUGCAACGAAAGAUGCACGACAAGCGUAGCAACUUCAGCGCACAGUUCACAAGGGUGUAUAAUUGGAUUUAAUGAUGAUCCUUCCGCAGGUUCACCUACGGAAA